rnacentral:rRNA from 1 species
CUUGCAACCAAUAAGAGGUCCAGCCUGCCCAGUGACUCUGUUCAACGGCCGCGGUAUCCUAACCGUGCAAAGGUAGCGCAAUCAUUUGUCCUUUAAAUAAGGACUAGUAUGAACGGCACCACGAAAGCUAUACUGUCUCCUUCCCCUAAUCAGUGAAACUAAUCUUCCCGUGAAGAAGCGGGGAUGAUCUUAUAAGACGAGAAGACCCUAUGGAGCUUUAAACACUCAACAAUUGUUACGGACUAACCCUCCUUCUCUGGAAAGAACCACCCACCCGAACAUUUUGAUUGCAAGUUUUAGGUUGGGGUGACCGCGGAGCAAAAAAUAACCUCCAUAGUGAAUGGGAUUCUUCCCCUUAAACCCAGGGCCACAACCCCAAGGAUCAAUAAAUUGACACCCAUUGACCCAAUAUUUUGACCAACGAAC